UACGUAGGGCGCAAGCGUUGUCCGGAAUUAUUGGGCGUAAAGAGCUCGUAGGCGGUUUGUCGCGUCUGUCGUGAAAGCCCACGGCUUAACCGUGGGUCUGCGGUGGAUACGGGCAGACUAGAGGCAGGUAGGGGAGAAUGGAAUUCCCGGUGUAGCGGUGAAAUGCGCAGAUAUCAGGAGGAACACCGGUGGCGAAGGCGGUUCUCUGGGCCUGUACUGACGCUGAGGAGCGAAAGCGUGGGGAGCGAACAGG
rnacentral:rRNA from 1 species